rnacentral:rRNA from 1 species
UACGUAGGGGGCUAGCGUUGAUCGGAAUUAUUGGGCGUAAAGAGCGCGUAGGCGGCUCGGUAAGUCCGCUGUAAAAGUCAAAGGCUCAACCUUUGAAUGUCAGUGGAUACUGCCGGGCUAGAGUCCGGAAGAGGCGAGUGGAACUCCUGGUGUAGCGGUGGAAUGCGCAGAUAUCAGGAAGAACACCAACGGCGAAGGCAGCUCGCUGGGACGGUACUGACGCUGAGACACGAAAGCGUGGGGAGCGAACAGG